rnacentral:ncRNA from 19 species
AUCGAGUGGUGCAGAAUACGCGCCUUGCAAAAUAACCGACGUCUAAUAGCGUCGGUUAUUUUUUUAC